rnacentral:misc_RNA from 1 species
ACGAACAAAAGUUAAAAGAAAAUUCCAGUUUCUCUAAUUAAAUUACUGUUCUAGGAUGGAUUAGGCUACUUUACUUUAAAACGUCAUCAUAACUUUCUCAGUUUUGGUUGGAUGUAUUAAGAAAAAUUGUUACUAAUCCUUUAUAAAAACACGAAGUGAAACAGCCCAAACAUCAGUAAUUGUUCUUUUACAACUAGUUCAUUUAGUUUAUUGCUUACUUUAUCGCUUAUUUCGAAUAAAAUUUCGAAACAUUUUACUUUCUACUACUAUUUUUCAAUUUUCUACCACCAGAGGACAGUACUUCGUGUACUAGUAGAAAAUGAUAGGUUAUCUAGAAGAUAAAUUGUAUUAAUAAAAUGAAGGAAGUAGUAAAGCCAAAUGGCUAUGCUUUAAAAUCUAGGAAGGACAAGCGU